rnacentral:rRNA from 1 species
GUCGAGAAUCUUCCGCAAUGCGCGAAAGCGUGACGGAGCGACACCGCGUGAUGGAUGAAGUCCUUCGGGGCGUAAACAUCUUUUAUAAAGGAGGAAAUUUUUGACGUUACUUUAUGAAUAAGGGGCUCCCAAUCUCGUGCCAGCAGGAGCGGUAAUACGAGAGCCUCAAGCGUUAUCCGGAAUCAUUGGGCGUAAAGGGUGCGUAGGUGGGUUGAUUAGUCUCCCGUUAAAACUUCGAGCUUAACUCGAAAAGAGCGGGGGAAACGGUCAAACUAGAGUAUGUGAGAGGUGUGUGGAACUCAUGGUGUAGGGGUGAAAUCCGUUGAUAUCAUGGGGAACACCAAAAGCGAAGGCAGCACACUGGCACAUCACUGACACUGAGGCACGAAACCUAAGGUAGCGAAUGGGAUUAGAUACCCCGGUAGUCC